GGAAGAGUAUGCCACGUCCAUUUACAACCGCGUUUAUCAGAAUUUCUUACCGCUGCAGCAAAGCAACUGGAUACUCCUAAGCUGAAGGAAAUUGUUUCUGUGGCAAACAAUGCCUGCUGGGCAAUUGGAGAAUUAGCUGUUAAGGUACACCAAGAAAUUUCUCCUGUCGUUUUGACAGUGAUUUCAAGCUUGGUCCCGAUUCUCCAACAUGCACAGGAGCUAAAUAAAUCUCUGGUAGAAAACAGUGCAAUUACACUUGGAAGGAUUGCAUGGGUUUGCC
rnacentral:misc_RNA from 1 species